AAAAGAGUCCAAAAAGGACUCAAAAGUGGGCUGUCGUACGGGCAGCAUGUUGGGCAUGCGAGGGUGGUGUGCAUAUGCCAUGUGGGUCGCGCGGGCUGGAAGCAUGAGUCGAGCCCAUCUGCCAUGCAAGUCAUUUCUGCGCGUGCGCUGGGUGUUGGGCGUGCGUUUGCCUUGUCGCGCACAUACGCAUGGUGCACACAUGCGACAUGUGGUUUGUGUACAGACUCACGCAUACUGUGGUGUGCAGUGCUAGCCAUCCGCAUACUCUAUG
rnacentral:lncRNA from 1 species